AAAGAUGAGACUGGGGCUGCGACAUCUGUCACCCCACUGAUCGCCAGGGUUGAUUCGGCUGAUCUGGCUGGCUAGGCGGGUGUCCCUUUCCUCCCUCACCACUUCAUGUGGUCCCUCCCAAAGCUGUGCGCUAAGUCAAAGAGGACAGCCUUCCCUGAAUAGAAACAGACCGGUCUUCAGUCGACGGUAUAUGAGUAGCUGCAUGUCCCUGCUAGAACCUCCAAACAAGCUCUCAAAUAUGAGACUGGCAUUUGGUGGAACUAUACUGCUAAAGGUAAAGAUAUUCUAGGGAGGUAGUUAAUUCGUCUCUCUGA
rnacentral:snRNA from 1 species